CCUAUAUAUAUAUAUAUAUAAAUCUAAAUAAUAUAAUAUAUAAUACAUAAUUCAAAAUUCAAAUAAUACCCUUUUGGGCGGCAUACUUAAACCGAAAAUCAAAUUCAAAAUUCAAACCCUCCUCUUCUCUUUCUCUCUCUCAAAUUCCACUGCAUCUGUCCCUUUCUCUUGAUUCAACUUAAAUCAAAGAAGAAAAACAUGCCAUGGAUUGAACUUAGAUCUGCAUCCUUCCAUCGCCAAAACCACAACUCAUCUUCUUUUCAUUUUUAUUCGGCUUCCUCCCCAAUCCAUCGCCUUCCAGAUCCAAAACCAAAAGAGACCAAUGAAGAUCUUACAUCUAAGAUCCUUAGAGUUCGUUAUUAUUAUCACGAAUUUGAGAUUUAACUACGAUUACAAGUUUUGGAGAUUUUGAUUUCAGUUCAAUGUAUGCACCAGUUAGAUUUUGUUAUAACUAAGGAAGUUCAAUUCUGUAUUUGAAUACAACUACCGAUCAAAAAGUAGAACAACCGGAGGUUCGAUUUGGAGCAUUUCAGUAUUUCAGAUCACAGAGUUCGGAACGUUUGUAUACAAUCUUUUUGUACAGUUCUGCAAUAACUGGACCAAUUGGAAAGGAAUGUGCUGAUCUUUGUGGCCUAUAAUUGCAAGUGUUGCUAAUGAAAGUGUUUUGGAAUUGUUUAGUAGAUUGGUGGUUAACAAAGUGGCGGAUGAUGUCGGUGGUUACGGGGUGGUGGGCCAAAUCCUACUACUUUGCGGUAUGUUUAACAGUUCAGGUGGUACUUACCGAUCUCGGCGUAUUAGAUUUCCCAAUUCCCCUCAAUCAAUCGGGUGUUGUUUUUUUUGAUGAGACUCGUCUUUGAUAUUUUCGUAACAAUACAACCAAAAAAUCAUUGAUAAUAGUGAAGUCAUUGAAAACGCUGACCAAAAUGUUUGUCAAACUCUUGCUUAUCAAGUGCUCCUUCCUUUAUACAAAAUUUGUGAGGGAUUUGCUGGGGAAGUUCUCUAUGGUAA